UAAUGGGUUAGGUAAAUGUUUCAUGAUAAGAAUUUCAUGUCUUUUGUAUUAAAGAAUUAAAUGGAUGAAAUAUGAAGUUUUAUUAAAAGAAAAAGGGGUGAAAAGAACAAAGUUUUGUCCAUCUUUGUUCAUCAUAGCUGAAAGUUAGAGAAGAGAAAAGAGAGGAGAAAGCUCUUGAGUAUUUGGUCAUUAGGAGGAGGAAAAUUGAAGGCAGUUCGUGUGUGGAUCUCGUCAGCAUAUCGUCGCAAACAGGAAAUCCCCAACCAUAGUGGGCUUGGAGCUGUGAGGGAAUUCGGAGUGGCCACCCGUUCUGAAAGUUUGAUUUUCUUCUGGUGAACUGGACAUCCUUUUAUUUACGUUUGAAGUUUUUGGGCUUUUAAAUGUAAUAAGGCCGCUUAAUUGUUUUUUGAUGGUUUUAAUAUGUAUUACUAAGAUAGGUAUUACUUAUUUUAACUGUUGAAAUUGGAUAGCUUUAGGGCGCGUUUUCAAAAACAACAA